rnacentral:rRNA from 1 species
AGUGAACGCUGGCGGUAGGCCUAACACAUGCAAGUCGAACGGCAGCGCAGUAAGAGCUUGCUCUUACGGGUGGCGAGUGGCGGACGGGUGAGGCAUACAUCGGAAUCUACUUUUUCGUGGGGGAUAACGUAGGGAAACUUACGCUAAUACCGCAUACGACCUACGGGUGAAAGCAGGGGAUCUUCGGACCUUGCGCGAUUGAAUGAGCCGAUGUCGGAUUAGCUAGUUGGCGGGGUAAAGGCCCACCAAGGCGACGAUCCGUAGCUGGUCUGAGAGGAUGAUCAGCCACACUGGAACUGAGACACGGUCCAGACUCCUACGGGAGGCAGCAGUGGGGAAUAUUGGACAAUGGGCGCAAGCCUGAUCCAGCCAUACCGCGUGGGUGAAGAAGGCCUUCGGGUUGGAAAGCCCUUUUGUUGGGAAAGAAAAGCAGCAGGUUAAUACCCCGCUGUUCUGACGGUACCCAAAGAAUAAGCACCGGCUAACUUCGUG